GUCCACGCCGUAAACGAUGAGUGCUAGGUGUCGCGGGUAUUGACCCCUGCGGUGCCGCAGUUAACGCAUUAAGCACUCCGCCUGGGGAGUACGGCCGCAAGGCUAAAACUCAAAGGAAUUGACGGGGGCCCGCACAAGCGGUGGAGCAUGUGGUUCAAUUCGACGCAACGCGAAGAACCUUACCUGGGUUAAAUCCACUCGAAGCCCGCAGAGAUGUGGGGGUGCCCUUCGGGGAGCGAGUGAGAAGGUGCUGCAUGGCUGUCGU
rnacentral:rRNA from 1 species